rnacentral:rRNA from 1 species
GACGAACGCUGGCGGCGUGCCUAAUACAUGCAAGUCGAGCGGAAUGAAGAAGAAGCUUGCUUCUUCUGAUUUUAGCGGCGGACGGGUGAGUAACACGUGGGCAACCUACCUUGUAGAUUGGGAUAACUCCGGGAAACCGGGGCUAAUACCGAAUAAUCCAUUUUGCUUCAUGGCGAGAUGUUAAAAGGCGGCUUCGGCUGUCACUACGAGAUGGGCCCGCGGCGCAUUAGCUAGUUGGUAGGGUAAUGGCCUACCAAGGCGACGAUGCGUAGCCGACCUGAGAGGGUGAUCGGCCACACUGGGACUGAGACACGGCCCAGACUCCUACGGGAGGCAGCAGUAGGGAAUCUUCCACAAUGGACGAAAGUCUGAUGGAGCAACGCCGCGUGAGUGAAGAAGGUUUUCGGGUCGUAAAACUCUGUUGUAAGGGAAGAACACGUACGAGAGUAACUGCUCGUACCUUGACGGUACCUUAUUAGAAAGCCACGGCUAACUACGUG